CUUAGUCCUAUUGCCCUCCAGUUAACAAGGUGAUUAUUUAUACUGUUAACUGCAAAGUUUCAAAAAAAAUAUAUGAUAAUUAACAUGUUUGUAUGACAUGCAGUUGUUUACUUGUGAUUAGACUUGUUUUAAAAGAAAUAAGAAGACUGUAAUUUUAACACAAAUAAUGCAGUUACUGAUUUGCUGGCCACACUAGCAUUCCAUCUAAUUAUGUAGGCAUGCUUUUCCACUAAAAUCGAUUAUUCUACACGAUGUAUUUAUAAUGUAAUGUAUCAUUACAAUUUGUUGUUGCCAUUAUUGGAAUUUAUAUUCUUACAGCUAAGACAGAGGAGUUAUCAUUAAUGAACCGUACAUCUCUCGAUAAAAAUCACAACCUAGCCAUGAAGUUCUAUUAAAAACGUGAAUUUUAAAGACACUUUUCACAUUUAUUUUUAUUUCAUUUUAUUUGUUAUUUCAUUAUCAACUCCUUCUUAUACUGUUUUUAUAUUGAAUUUUGAUUUCUCCAGAUCCCACAAGAAUUUGUUGCUGCAUGAACGGCCUGCAAUCACUGUGUCUGGAGAUAACCAGUUUAUCAAAUCCGAUAAUAUUCCGUGCCACAAGAGACCGAAGAGAGAAACAUGGUUAGAACCGUCUCCUACGGGUUUCUACUUUAAGGGACAAUGGCGUGCACUGAGAUGCUCGAAUAAACUGCAUAAUCCCGCUGCUACGUCAUACGUUAAAUGUCUCAGAGGGUUCCAUGUGUUACUGAUAGGCGAUUCGAAUCUUCGGUCAUGGUUUUUACGCAUUAAAGAUAUGUUGAAUAUGACAAUAACAACGAAGAAGUUGAACAUAAAAUGGUAUACAACUUUGGAAGCAGAAAACCAGGAACUAAAUACAUCUAUGGCAUUAGCUGUUCAUGCAAAUCCCUUUUAUGGCGGUAUUACAGCUUUACCGAAAUCUUCUAUACAGUCGGUAGCUUGGCAACUAGACCAGAUCAACACCACUAGGAGUGUUGCUGUAGUUAUUCAUAUGUACCUGCAUUUGGCAAGGACAGUGCCAGAGGAGUAUCGCGCACACGUGAAAGAAGCUAAAACAGGUAUUGACAGACUUUUCAAACGUGCACCAAAUGCUGUCGUUUUCAUCAAGGGGCCUCAUGCAGUAACGACACCAGCAUUUCAGGUACCCGUCGAUUAUUUCAGAAACGUUCAAGAACAAAUUCUUUACGAGGAAUUCAGAGACAUGAUAGAUCAAAUAGUAUUUCUUAAUCAAUGGGACAUGACAUCUGGGUGUGAAAAUGUCCCUAUCCAUCCAAAUACUGCAAAUUUAAAUAACAUGGUCGACCUUUUUAUAUCUUAUCUGUGCUAUUAAUGAUAAGUACCUUUGUUCAAGUAUGCCCUUGUUUUCAUCAUGUAUUGAAAAAUACUACUGAUGCUGAUUUCUCUAUUCGCUGUUAGUCAAACAGUAAUGAUCUAACCUGCUGAACUAUCCUACUCUAAUUGCCUACCAUCAUAAACAGAUAUACAUAAGGAUUUCCCUUAGUUAUUUUUAAGGUGUAUUAAUUGCUAUGCAUUGUAGAAAGUAUUAUUUUAACCGAGUAUUAGCACAAGACGUCCGACAUUUCUAAGAUAUAUAGUAUGAAAACUUGGAUAAUACCACAGAAAACCUUUGAUACAAAUGCACAAACUAAUGGUUAUAAUUAUGCUUGAUGUCGAAAGACCCAAUUUCAUUAUGCAAUAGUUUGCUUCUCCGAAAAAGAUAAGUACAUCAAGAAUGAUGAAGGUAACUUGAUUAGCAAGGUCGUAAACAAGAGACCAAUUGGAUUGCCAUACAUAAUGAAAUGAGGUUUUUUCUAUGAGUACUUGAGUGGUUGUUUUCAUUAUUAUGUUGCAUACUGCGUCAGUAAUUAAUCUCUAAUCGAUAACUAUCCAAAACAUUUAAUCAAUGACCAAUAAUCGGUUAUCAAUCGGUAAUCGAUAGCCGAACAAUAACUGAUCAAUAGUCAUUGAAUAACCAAUCAAUAAUUGAUCAAUGAGUAACAGCCGAUCAAUGACCAAUAACCAAUCAAUAUUCCAUGAUCGAUCGACUUAUCAAUAAUCAAUAUCCAAUCAGUCUACUUUGUUAGAUGGUGUAUAUAAAUUAGCAUCAGCAGAUAAGACUAAAAUCAGUUCUAGACAGUAUUACAUCGAAACACAAAUGGGAAUCUGACCAGGGCUGAUUGAUAUCCCUAGAUAAUCAAAGAAUAGUAGGACUUAAACAGAAUAUUCUUGAGUACCUCCUUCAAUACGAGGCUCACAACAUAUCGAUCAUCCCUCGUAAGUGACAGAAAUAAUGGUGUAAACACUAGACUUAUAUAUUACAUUAUAGAUAACUAAAUAACAUACCAGGUCAUCUAAUAUGUAUUGAUUUCGAACAAGCAUUCAACUCAGUCUCAUAAAUUAAACAAAGUAAUUUUCGUUUUUUUUUUCAAUUUUGGAGAAAGCACUAAAAUGGAUAAAAACUUUGUUUAGUAAAACCUAUUUUGCUGUUACACCAAACAUACAGAAGGACUGUCCACAAGGGGAUCCUAUCUCCCCAUGUCUUUUUGGGAGCCUGAAGUUGGUUCCGAGUUCCGAGUUUCGUUUAAGUAAAACGGAACUCGGAACUGGAGUUCCGUUUACUUACGGAACUCGGCCGAGUUCCGUUUUACUUAAACCGAACUCUGAACUCGGAAAUCGGAAGUACCGUUUUACUUAAACGGAACUCAGAACUCGGAACUAACUUCAGGCUCCCUGUCUUUUUUGGUUGUUGCUGAAAUACUGAUUAUUCUCUUAAACAUAAUAAACAUAUUACAGUUAUCAAAGUACAU